AGAGAGAGAGAGAGAAGCGGGGGUCAGGCUGGGCGCCCCGAGCCGCCCCGGCGGGCGCUGCGGAGGUUCACCCAGCCCGCCGUGCCCCGACGGUGGCCGGAGCUGGGGGUGGUUACCGAGGCAGCAGCAGAGUGCCAGAGUGGAAACGAUCUGUCUGUCCCGGAAAACCCUGCCGAGGUGCAGUGCAGCAGGGCUGCAUUGAAACCUGCAGGAAAUCCUUCGUUACCUGGAGAGCUGCGUGUGAGCAGCAGGGUCCUGAAGCUUCUUCUCCAAAUCUGGAAGAGUAGAGACAUGCAGUAAUACUCAUAUUUGUUGUCCUAAAACAGAGCAAUUGAAGGCUGUGGUUUCUUACGCAACGUCUCUCCAGCUUGCAGAGUGUGAUAAUGAAGGAGAUUAAUGUCAACUGAUUAAGAAGAGACCCUUAAACAUUAUGGAAUCAGUAUCAUAUCUGCACCACGUUCUGGUUUUAUUUAUUUAAAUUUACAUUAAGGAAACAUUGAG